GAAGCUGAGAGAGUUCUUCAGAGAGAAAGCUACCUGGAGGCCAAGGAGAAAGCAGAUGAGGAUCUCUGUUUGCUGGCCAGCGGAAUAACGUCCACCAGUCUUCCUAGCUCGGUGUUGCCUCCUGAAGACCAAGAUUUGGCUGAAGGUGGGCUGGGUGAGGAGUCUGCAAAUCUGAAUGAGGUGACGGUGUCUUUGGAUAACGCUGACUGGGCCCUGUUG